UGUUCUAAGAACUUUAUAUGUAUCAACUUCUCCUUGAAUCUUCACAACCACUUUAUAAAGUAAGUAUCAUGAUGGCCCCCAUCCCCCUCCAUUUUUUAGGGGAGAAAAUUGAGGCUUAAAGAAGUGGCCUGCCCACAGAUGGCAAGUGACCAGGCCAGAGUCCACACCCAGACUAUUUAACUCUAGACUCCAUUUAACUCUAGACUCUAAGCUUUUAAUCACUAAACUUUCAGAAAUGUCUACCAAGAAAGAUGGCUAAAUUUGGCGAGCAAUAUCUAAAAUCAAGUCCAAAGGAAUAUGAAUAAAAGCAUUUGAAAGAGAAGGCUAUGAUUUCUCACACUAUGACUAGCAUUUUUCCUUAGGUGUCAUCUAUGCUGAAUCUCCACUGGGCAGGAAACACAAUGAAAUACAACUGAAACUGAAUGGAAAGUUAACCAUGAAACGACUGGAGGAAUCUCAGUCAGAACUAGGUCUCGCUUUACCAAGAGAGGGACUCAAGCAAACAGCAUCACUGACACCAUUGACAGUUUGGGAUUCCAAGGUGGCUAUGCAAAUUAAUCCCUGUCUCUUGCUCCACUCCUACCCUCAUCACUAAUCCUCACUUCUCCUACAAAAGGACAUUGUUAUGAAGCAUCCUCGCCUUGUUUUCAGCUUGUGUGUUUUUGAGCCAGAGCUUCAUUAGAAUAUGACCAUCUGUGCUCCCUGGGACCUUGGUCACCUCAAUUUAUUUGCUGGAAGAUGUGGAAUGAUCCUAUUUCACGUGAAUAUCUAGCUCAGUUUCCUCUAUUUCUCUAAAUGUAUCUCAAUGUCUUUUGUGCUUUCUGGAAGGUAUUAGAGUUUAUGGACCUUGCUCUUGGUUAACAUUAAAAAAUAAGCUUUCUACAUAAUAUAGUGUAAAAAAGCUAUGUCAUUUCUUCACUUUUCUGACUACUAAGUUCUCUUGAGAGGCAGUGAGUGUCACACUGCACUACUAGUGGCCUGCACAUCUGAGACAGAGUAUCUCUUACACACUUGUGAAUUAAUUCCUAACUUCUGUAUAAUAUUCUAUUUACAUUUUUUAUUCAAAUUCUCUCUCAUUCUCUGUACAUUUCUUUAGCACACACUAGAUGUCUGCUGUGCCAGGUGACUCUCACUUAUUCAGCACAGCAACCCUAAGAGACACACACAUUUAGUACUGAAAUAUUAGAGUGGAGAGAACAAUGGUGAGGCAAUGAGGUUACAUGGUCACAUUCUUACCUUGGGAAUUCUGCUUUGCUGUGAAGCAGUGGGUAAAGACAUUGACUAUUACAGCACUCACUGUUUAUCCAAACAGUAUCCCAGGGGAGAAUACAUUUCAGGGUUCUGUACGAGGAAAACUUAGUCUUUCCUGAGAAAUGGAUGUUGUGUUCUUCUCGUCUAGCAUUUCUUUUGUUUUCCUGCUAAGUUUGGCCACCACGUAACUAUGAGAUGGGUUUCUGGGCUCCUUCAGAGGAAGCACUAUGACUCUUAUUAUUGAAAUAUUCACUUUCUCUUCACCCAAUUUUCUCUUUUUAACAUUCUGAAUUAAAAAAAAAUUAUUGACUUUGUACUUUUUGUAACUUACUGCAAAUCCUUUUCUAAAUAGGCAGGGCAUGAAUAAAGAAAGGAUGGAAGGAUGGAAGGGAGGAAGGGAAGGACAAAGGAAGAAAGGGAGGGUGGCAGGGAGAAAACAAAAACAAGUAGGCAAAUACAUAAAAUGACUUACCUUUUGUAAUUUUAAAUUAUUCAAGUUUGUUUUCUAAUAAAUAUAACCUUAAUGAAAUGCCAUCUCUAAAAAUCCUUUAUACAAAGCUUUUCAAAUAAUAAAAGGAAUACGAGUAAAAUGAUGAAAUAAAUAAACUUUUUGCAGCCA
rnacentral:lncRNA from 1 species